GGCGGGUUGAGAGAGCCUAAUACAAUACCCGCAAGGGGAAUAAGUUCCGCCGUCUAACGUCGGUAGUUGAAGCCCGCCCACCCACU
rfam:Neisseria sp. 10023 chromosome, complete genome.